rnacentral:lncRNA from 1 species
GGGUCCUUCAUGGUUAGUAAUGUUGGUUCCUUUUGGAACCCAAACCUUUUUAAUUUUCCUUUUAGCUUUUCCUUUCCUAUGGUCACACAUAUUAGCUUUAUGUCCUACUUUUCCACAGCAAAAACAGGUUAUAUUCUUAGUUUCACUUUCCCCUGCUUUCACAAAGAAAUUACUAAGGAGCUUUUGCUUAUUCUUAGGUUUAUACCCUAAACCGGCUCUAUUAAACACAGCUCGUUGACUAUUGAGUAUUAUUUCUAAUUUUUCUGAGCUAUAUGUAAAUUUUUCUACAAAAGGCUUGUACUUUUCAAGUUCUAGUGUCAAUUUUUGUUUUUCUGUUUUUAGUGCAUUUAAGUCUUUUGUGAAAUUACCUCCAAUAGUUUGCUUAUCCUUUUUAAGUUCAGAAAUUUUCUUGGUUAGUUUUUCGUUAUCUUUAC